rnacentral:rRNA from 1 species
CCUACGGGGGGCAGCAGUGGGGAAUAUUGGACAAUGGGGGCAACCCUGAUCCAGCCAUGCCGCGUGUGUGAAGAAGGCCCUCGGGUUGUAAAGCACUUUCAGUGAGGAAGAACGCCUGGUGGUUAAUACCCAGCAGGAAAGACAUCACUCACAGAAGAAGCACCGGCUAACUCCGUGCCAGCAGCCGCGGUAAUACGGAGGGUGCGAGCGUUAAUCGGAAUUACUGGGCGUAAAGCGCGCGUAGGUGGCUUGAUAAGCCGGUUGUGAAAGCCCCGGGCUCAACCUGGGAACGGCAUCCGGAACUGUCAAGCUAGAGUGCAGGAGAGGAAGGUAGAAUUCCCGGUGUAGCGGUGAAAUGCGUAGAGAUCGGGAGGAAUACCAGUGGCGAAGGCGGCCUUCUGGACUGACACUGACACUGAGGUGCGAAAGCGUGGGUAGCAAACAGGAUUAGAUACCCGGGUAGUC